AAAAAAGGCAAACCAAAUGCUGGCAAGGAUGUGGAAAAAUUGAAUCACUCCAACAUUGCUGUUGGGAAUGUAAAAUGUGACCAUAACUCUAGAAAAUUUGGUACCUUCUAAUAAAACAUGCAUCUAUCAUGUGACUCAGCAAUUACACUGCUAGAGAUCUGAGAGAAAUGAAAAUGUUUUAUGUUGACGUGAAAACAUGUACAAAUAUGUUCAUUGCAGCUGUAUCUGUAAUAGCCAAACACUGGAUCAGCCCAGAUGUCCUUCAACAGGUAAAACAAAACAUAUCAUGGAAAGUACUCAGCAAUAAAAAGGAAUGAAUAAAAAGAAUGAAACAUUGAUAUAUGUGGCAACUUGAAGGAAUACCGGGGAAUUACACUGAGUGAAAAGCCAAUCCUGAAAGGUUACAUACUGUAUGAUUCCAUUUAUAUAAUAUUCUUGAAAUGACAAAAUCAUAGAAAAAUGGAGGACAGAUUAGUGGUUGCCAGGGGUUACGGAUGGUGGUGUGCAGAAGACAGGGGGGAGGUGGGUGUGAUUAUAAAAGGGCAACACGAGAGAUCUUGUGGUGUUGAAACUGUUCAAUAUCUUAUAGGAUACAUAAACUUACCUAGGUGAUUACACUAUAGAAUUA
rnacentral:lncRNA from 10 species